CACGGUGCUCGGGGCCAGAUGGAGGCAAAGCCGGCCGCUGGGGAGGCCGGGCAGGCGCGACGCAGCCGGAGCCGGGCGUGACGGAGGGGCUCGGUGUGCGCGCGAGACGGAGGCGGCCAGGGGCCAGCAGGCGGACGGCGAUGCGGGAGGCGCGCAGCUAGGGAGCGGGGGAGCCGGCCAGGCCGGCCGGGUGGAGGGCGAAGCCGGCAGGCGACGGAGCCGGCAAGCGGCGGAGCCAGCCGUCCGGCUCGGGGCGGAGACGGCAAGCGGUCGGAGCCGGGCGUGGAGGCCGGCAGCAGAGGCGGCCGGGUUGGGGGAGCCGGCCAGGGCGGAGCCGGCGAGCCGGCGCGGAAGACCCGGAGGGAAGGAGCCGGACGCUCGGGGCUGGCUAGGCGAGAAGGCGGAGCCGGCGCGGAGGUCCCGGGAGGUCGGACGCCGGGCGGCGGGAGGAGCCGGCCGUCCGGGCUGCGGGCGGAGGCCGGGGCGGGGCCGAGGGAGGUGGCGGCCGGAUCACGCGGGGAGGUGGCGGCCGGGCCGCACGGAUGGUGGAGCGGUGCGAGCGCGCUCGGGGAAGUCGGCCAGCUCGUCGGAGCCGUGGAGGGGCGAGGCCGCGGGACGGAGACAGCGCGGAGGCCGGGUCACGGGCGCCAGCCGGCAGGCGCGCGCAGGAGCCGGCUUGGGUAGGAGCCGGACACGGCAGAGGCGAGGCGGAUGCGGGAGGAGGCGCGAAGCAGCCGGCGCAGGGCGAUACAGCCGACUGUGGAGGACCCGGCCAGAGUGGCGGGCUGGCGGGCGAGUGCGGAGCAAGGGGCCGGGGGCGCACCGACCCGGAGCUGGCCGGGCGGGCGGCAAGCCGGCAGUCGCAGGGGGCUAGCGCGGCAGGGGAGGCCGGGGCCUACGGGCGAGGACGCGGAGCCGCACACAGGCGAAUCCGGACCAGCAGGGGUGCGCGCAGACGAAACUCCGAUAGCAACGAUGCUCGAGCAAGCAACAAUAAGAGCAGUAGGAGGCAUCGGCUGCAGCAAUGGAGGGAGCAGCAGCGUUCUAGCAGCGGGCACGGAGCGCACGGGCGUGGCCAAGGCAAACCGAGGGAUGGCAGCACGCACAGGGAGGCGCGGCCAUGAUGCAGCGUAGAGAUUUUUGGUGGACUUGUAGAUGAUAUAUGGAGGCCGGAGCAAGGUGCAACGCGGAGGAAAGCAGGCGCGAGCGGCGCGUGGACGACCACGGUCGACCGAAACGAGGCCCCGCGGGCGGCGCGCGCGCGAACGGGCAGCCGGCGUCGCAACGGUGGUGGUGAAGAAGGCGAGGCCGACGGCGAGGUCACGCCGCCCCUCACGGCCAUUCCGGGGGCAUGUCAAUGUCGAGCCCCCGACCGCAAUCGAAGAGACAGCGCGACGCCGCGGUGGUGAAGACGAAGAGGCCGACGGUGAGGACGCGCCACCCCUCACGGCUGCUCCGGGGCGGGUCGAUGUCGAGCCCCCGAGCGCUACCGGAGGGACGGCGCGACGCCGCGGCGGAGGCGAUGAAGAAAAAAAAAGGGGUCCCGCCCGGACAGCGAAACCAGCAGCAGCGUGGUAGCAAAGUACCGCCCCACGGUGGGCGCCAACUGUCGUGGUAUUUCUCACGGGGGGCUUGCGAGUCGACAGAUGCCACAAGGGCUUAGUGUGUGGGUAAGACUGCUGCUGAUAGGCCCAGGAGCGGGUAUGCGAGUAGCACGCGAUGGUUUACCCAGCUUCGGAGCUCCCCGGAGAGAUAAUACUCCUACUGCUGUAUGUCUGAGUGUAUCUGAUAUAUCUAGUACAGAGUUGCUUCUGGAGCUA